GAACCAGUUUCAGAGUCAGAGCAACAGAAUGGGCUGAAACCAGGAGGCCAGGCCAACUUGAGGGCCAGGUGAAGGCCAACAGAUCAAACCAGGGGUGGGGUGAGGUCAGGUUACAGCUGUGGAAGCACACACCAGGAUUAAAACUAGGAGCCUAUCAGAUGAAGUGUCUGAGGUUCUUCCCUGCCCAGGGUUCUGUUCCACCUUUUUCUAACACAGAUCCCUGCUUUUCUAUGAGGGCACCAUCCAAAUGAUUAAGGUGAGGCUAACCUCAAGUCCCCAUAUCAUGGGAUGAACGAGUAAUUCAGGAAUAACUAAAAAAGUCUUCUCUCCCCACAGUCUCUAGCUGUAAGGCAUAGGGGAAAAGUGUGCUAGUCUUUGUUUGUUCUGGAGUUACAAAUCGGCACUGGGGUAUCCCACGCUGGACAAAAGAGUUGGAGACAGACAGACUUCAAUGUCUCUCUGAAUUACUAUAAUUUCCACUUUUGCUUAAGCUAGUUUUAAUUUUCUAAAAUAUUCAUUUGCCAACAAAAAGGUCCUGUCUCACACUUCGGCUUGCAGGAGAAAGGACAGCUAUAAUCAGAUACCAUUAGCCAGCUGACCAACACUGGUCAACAAUUGUGGAGCUUAUCAACACAGAACUGGCAGCUUGGCGGGGCUCCAGAGGCAAAGACAUAGGGAGGCCAGGUAUCAGGGAUUCCGUCUUGGGGAAACAGAUAGUUCCUGCAGUACUCAGGUAUCAGACUAGGGUUUUGUGAUCAAUGAAUUGGUUAGGAAGGGGUCUUGGAGAACUGGCAUUCAAAGGCCCCAAAAGGAACAGCAGCACAGCUGACUACAUCCAACUGAAACAACUGCUUUUCCUAAUGGCUGGUGCCAGGCAGUCAGAUACAGGGCAGAGCUUAACUUGGACCCAGGAAUGUAGCCUUAGGGAGCCCUGUUAAGGAAUCCCACAGGACAUGAAAUUAUACCCUGGAAUAGUCUCAUCAAAUAUGCACAUAUGUGCCUAUAAGAUGCAAAUUGGGACACACUGGAUGAUCAACUAACUGCUGGAUAAGUGUUUUGAUGACUUUGAGCAGGAUUUCACCACCCCUGGAAAUAGCACAAGGGAAAUAUGCCCACCAACUUAGGGAAAAAAUAUGUGGAAAUGGAGUCCUGAUAUUUAAAGGAAUAUCAAGUCUUAGGAAUCUUUAUGAGAAGCUUUGCAUUUAUCACGAAACUAUCACUACUUUCAUCACAGAACACUUCAUAUACUGAAUGAAUGCCAGACACACCAUUAGAAUUCUAACAUGGGCAAUGUAUUGUAAUUUCCCAAAACUUAGACAGCUGAGCAUUGCUCUGAACCAUUUGUCAUAAACUAAGAGGACAAACUUUAAGACCGGUUUGUCUCCUUCUGCUUUUAGUGAGGUUUGCAUUAAAGAAAGGAAUAUUUCCUUCGUAACUCCUCAUACUUUUGUAAUUCUACCUUUAGAACCAAUUCAGCGCAGUUUAAAUAUUCAUGGAGUACCACAUAUGUGGCAAGAUCCUGCAAAGGAAGUCAAAGAUGAAAAUACUAUGGUCCGGACCCUCAAGGGACUUACGGCCUACCCUUGGUGUUUCCCAAGGAGAGCAAGGGAUCAUCUUAUUUUUUACCUCACAGUGAAUCUGCGGUACAGGAAUUAUGCAUCCCUUUCACACAUGCUGGUUUCUGUUCUUCAUCUUUUAUCAGUCUGAAUGUCAGAGCUCUUUAGAUACCUGAUGGUUUUUCUUAGAUUUGCAUUCAUUCCAGUAACAAUGUUUUGGGUGUCUAUUACAUGUCAGGCCUAGUAAUAAUAGUGCACAACUUGGCCCUGGGGUCCCAUGCUCGGAAGGGCCCCACACGUCAUCUAAUGCUCUGCUGUCUGGUAAUUCUUUUUAAACAAGGAGCCCAUCUUCAUUUUGCACUGGGCUGUACAGAUUAUAGCCUGGUUCUGUAGCUGGUUCUUCUGGGUACUGGGCUAGGUGGUGGGGACAUGGUGGUGAAAAGGGAGACAUCCAUAGUGGGACAAGAAAUAAAAAAAUACACAAAUUAUCAUGGAAAGCUCUACAUUAAUAUUCUGAAUGAAUGGAAUUUUUGUUUGAAAGGAAGAGCACCAAAUACAGAAAACGAAUUCAUCAUUUACUAGAAAUUGGGACGGCAUCCCCAACCGAUAAGGAACAUCUGAGGUUUAUUCAAGGUCUCCUUCAAAAUCACAUGUUUCAGCAGUUGGAUGGGGUACACCAUGUCCAGGAAAAACAACCCUGAUGGAAAACUCCAUUACUCAUGUUCCCCUCCACACAGAGAAAGAGGGAAGUUUCAUGUUCUAGGCAGAUUCUCUUGCUUUCUUAACCAUAAAUGGAAAAAACAGAGGUGAAAAAGAGGGAGAAAGGCAGGCAGUUUGGCGUUUCCUUUCUGUCUGUUCACAGGGUGAGUGCCAUGACUUUUGAUUUGGUUUUACCAUAAGGCAUGUGCAGUUUUUCAGGCGGUGGACAUAAACUAUGUGACAUCUAAUCUCAUGUCCAUGUGUGGAGAAAGGAACAGAAAAAGGCCUCUGAAAGUCAGAAGUCAUCAAAACUGCUCUAGCAUUCAUUGAAAAGUGCCCACACUCACUGUUACUUUCUAAUUUUGAAAGGUACAUGCAAUAAAAUAAUAGUCAACAGCCCACAUAUAUUGAGUGUUCACUAGCACCAACUACUAUGCCCCAUUCUUUACAUAGAUUAUCUUCUUUUAUCCUGAAAACAACCCUAUGAAGUAGGCCAUAGUUCAUCUCCUUUCCCUCUUACAGAGGAGAAACUGAGGUUCAGGGAAUCUGGUAACAAAAGUUCCCCAGUUGGGUGUAGAACAGGAUUUGAACCCAGGGCUUACAUUCUUAACUACAGCCUUUCCAUCUGCUGCUGUUGACAAUGAGAAAUACACCCAGGGGUUAACAUUCAGGCAUGUUGUUAACAUUUCCUUCCUGUACUUCUGCAGAAUCUGGGGUUUUGCUUUGUUUUUCCCUUUCUCUUUCCCUUUACAUUCCUUUAAAAAGCAGCACAACACAAAACUUUUUAUGGUGGAAAAUUUCUAGCACUUACAAAAAGUGACAGACUGGCAUAAUGGACGUCCACAUAGCCAUCACCCAGUUCCAGCAGUUACCAACAUAUGGCUAAUCUUACCCACUUGCUGUCCUUCUGUAUGCAUUACUUUGAAGCAUACCCAAGCCUUCAAACAACUUCAUCUCUGCUGCCUUGACGGUUCUGACUUCCCAACAGUCUCCCCCAGGCCACCACUGUAAGGGUGGGAGCAUGCACACAUCCAGCAGCCAGCGUGAGGCCAUGGGCCUGCCCUCUACCAGAGAGCAGAUCUGGCCUCCUUGGUGAUCACAGAAAGAAGCCUGCACUAAGACCUGCCUUUUGGCCUUUGCCUGUCAUCCUCCAAAAGGAACCUGGAUGGGUCUGGCAGAGGGAGAGACUGAGACAGAAAGUCCUAGGAAGGACUUCAUGAAGCCAAAUGUAGGAAAGGAAGGGCUGAAUGCUUUGCAAGCUGAGUCCAUUCCAUGUAAGGGCUGAGUGGAUGGGCUUUGUGUUUAGACAGAUCUGAGCUCCAAUCUUUGCUCUUGGACAAGUUACCUAACAGCUCUAAACAAUUCCCAUAUCUGCCAAAUGGAUUUAAUAAUACCUAUGUCAUAUCAUUGUUAGGAGGAUUAAAUGAAAUGGUAAAUAUAAAGUGUUUAGAAGUGUGUCUGACACAGAAAAUGUUCAUGAAGUAGAAAUAACCAUAGCUAACACUUUAUAAUCCUUACCGUGAGCCAGGCACCCUAGUGAGUCACUUACUUAUGUGAUCUCCUGUUGCUCCCUCAACAACUCUAAGAAGUAGGCACUAUUAUCGUCCCCAUCUCAUUCCCAAGAAAAUGAUGAACGAAGUGGUCACAAAACUUCCCCAUGUCACACAGCUAUCAAAUGAGGGUGUAGGGGGCUUAAAUCCUAGUCAGAGUUUGCAUUCAUAAAUACUAGCACGGGAUAACUUUAGGCUUUGAAUCAAGUGUGCACAAGGGAUCCAAGUUUUUACACUCGAAAAGCUACUAGUUCUCAAUUCAUAUUAGUUUUAACCUUUACACCAAACUUAAAAUGUAGAUCUUAAUUUAUCUUUCAUAAGGUAAAGAGGCUCAGAGCAAUUGAGUAGCUUGGCUCAAGGUCACAAAGCUAUUAUGUGAUAAAACCUUGGUUUUAAUCCAGGUCCAGCUGACUACAGCCCAUUCUAUUUCCCUAUUUUAUCAAGGCCCUUCUCUCUCUUGGAUAAUAAGCAUCCAAACAUUUUAAUGAGACAAACUAAUUCCUGUAAAAAUAUUUGCUGGCUACGCUACCCAAGAGACCCAUAAUGUUUGUAAUAACUGGGUCUCCUUAGCAGUUGCAAAUCUAAGGGUCAUAUUAGAGGAGAGCUCACACAGAAGAGAAAGGCAGCAGUCAGUGGGGUCCCAUAGCCUUCACGCCUGAGAAUCUAGGGCUCUUAGUCAUAUGGAGUGGGGUUUAGGGUUUAGAGGAAGAAAAUGUAAUAGUUUCCUGUUGAAGAGACAGAAAUAAAACAACUACAUAGUUGUAAGCAUCUCUGCUUUCAUAGAAUAAACCAAGAAGACAGCAGCAUUAAGAUGCCAGAAGUUGUUGAUAAAAAGCUGUGCCAUGAAACCAUGUGGGCACAGCGUCUGCAUGCAGUGGUGAGAGGGCCCCUUUCCUGCUCGCUGCACUGUGCUGUAAUUCUUAAUCUGGGUGACGGGGAGGAAGGGGGAGCCAAGGCUUCUACAGAUUUUAGAAGCUCCAAAGGUUAAUCAUACACAUAAAAAAUUGAGAACAUUGCACACAUGAAGAAAAGUGUUUGCCAGGCACUAAUCUACCCAUCCACUUGUCAAUCCAUUCAUCCUUCCUUCCAUCCAUAUGUCCAUCCAUCCAUCCUACAUAUACAUCUGAUGAUAUUUUCAGUGCUUUUAAAUGUCAAUACAUCUAAUUUUCAUAACAAUCCUCGGAGAAUAGCUCUUUAAGAGAGGUACUGUAAUUAUCCCUAUUUUACAACAGCAGAAAAAAACUGGUCUCAGAAAACUCACAUGGCUAACAAAAGGGGAGUUAGGAUUUGAAUUCAGGAAGUUUGAGCAUAGAGACUUCAGUUUUAAGCACUAGGCUAUUUUUCCACCCAGUAUUUGUUGAGUGAAGGAAUAAGGGAAUAAUGAUAAGAUCCUAUAUUUAUGUACUGUUUACCUUUUAAUAAACAAAGCAGCAAGUCAGUGGCAAGAGGCUGAGCAAUGGAGUCAGUUAGGGCUCUGUUCAAAUUCCAGCACCAUGACUUAGUAGCUAAUAAGUAUAUAAAACCAAUAAAGUGUGGUUCAUGAUACUUUCUUAUAGAGUUGUUGUAAGGACAAAAAUAAGGCACAACUUUUUAUAAUGCUAAAAAUCAAGCAACUUUCCUUUCCAGUAUAUUGCCUAGAGAAGCUAAGCUUUUGUUUCUAAGUGCAAGAGGCAAAUACAGAAAUUUUUACCAUAGUAUUUUGGGACAGUGAAAAUUUGGAAACAACCUAAAUGCCCAUCAACAAGAGAUUGGUAUACUCAUGCAGUGGAAUAUAGUGGUUAAAAUGAAUUCAGAGAUAAAUCCCAAAAGCUUGUUGAGAGAAAAAUAAGGUAGCAGAAUGUCACAUCCUUACAUAAAUUUUAAAACACCAAAAUCAUAUAUGUUGUUUAUAGACAUAUGCAGCAAAAUUGUAAAAACAUGCCUGGGAAUGAAAAAACACAAACUUCAGAGCAGAAUUGUCUUUAGGAAUAAAGAACAAGUACAGAAGCAGUUUCAACUGAUUCUAUAAAAUUUUAUUAUAUUACAAAAAAGUAUGUGAAGCAAACAUGGCAAAAUGUUAAGAUGCCUUAAAACUGAGUGGUGGGUACAUAGGUUUUUACUUAUGUUAACUUUUAUAUGUUUGUAUACUGAAAUUAUCCCCAACUUUUUUUUUAAAGAAGAUAAUGCCAAGUGCCAACCAAGCACAAGGCCUAGCUCACAGAAGCUGUUCAAGAUUUAGUAGCUGUUAGUCAAGACAAUGAUGCUCUAUAAAAGCACAAGGAGAAAACAGUUAUUCAAGCAACAAGCUUUGAGCAAACAAAAGUCAAGACACUAAAAAUGAUUAGGACAUUAGAAGGAAAUGGUACCCUACUAUAUUUACCAUAUUUCCUAGUAGAAGUUUAUUUCAUGGAUGCCAGAAUCAGUGUUAUAUAUGUACAUGUACACACACACACACAUGAAAUUACACAUGGAUGCCAAAUUUAAUUUUCUUUCAUCAGAGCUUAAUUUCUGCCUCCUUUCCAGGUUGUAAGUCAUAUGGUCUUGUUUAUCAAAUUUAGAACUACUUAUCUUAGUUUCCAUUCAAAUCACUCACACUUUUUCAGAGCAACCAAACUGAGCAUCACAAAUAUAAUGUUCAGAAUCAACAUAAGCAGAGGAUGAACAGGGAGUGAAGGUGGCCUGCAGCUCUACCAAGACGGAAUGAGAAAAACAAUCACCGAUUUGAAAAGGCAGGAGAGUCUAUUCUUAACUUGGUGUUUUUCAAGUUGUGCAACAAAGGUUCAAAAAUGAUUUUCGAGGAUCCCAAGACUGUGAUUUUGUUGAUCUUAAGUAAGACAAUCUUUUAGAAAGUUUAUUUAUGUCAAGUGUCAGGGUAAAACAUCAAGACAGUUUUCCUUCUCAGCUUUUGGGUAUCUUAGUGUCUCACUUCCCUGUCAUAAAAUCCCAGUCUUUGGUUACCAUAAAAAGUGGAAGAUUAAUUUUCUCAGUGAUAAGUGGGGUCAUAUUUCAUUUACCAGCCAAGUUUCCCCUCCUUUCUGUAUGUGUACUACUAUUAAGUGACUCCAUGGCUGUUCAAUCAGAGUGUAGGAUCCAGUUGGGUGAUCACUCUGAUAGUCAGGCCAGGUUUCAAAGCUAGACUCUCCAUCCUUCAUACCAAGGCAACCCUUACUCUCCACUUGCUUCUCCUUGGCGCUGCUUUGAUCCUACCACCUGGUGGGCAAGCGUUUGCAGAAAAUGCUGUGAUGUGCUGCCCAGGCUUUUCCUGUCAGCUGUCAGGAGUGUUUGAGCUCAUAGCGCUCCCCACUCAACCCCCUCUGGGAACUGUCAUUCCUAAAAGAGAGCUGCCUAUUUCAAGGUCAUUCCACUUUCUCAAGGGCAGCCCACCCCAAUGAUGGGUCGGUGAAGGUAUGGGGAAGACCCAGCCUUCUUGCUCCGACUUGCGACAACUCUCAGUUCCAGAGCUCUCUGUGAGUUUACUGAGGACUAUGUUGCAUCUGAAUUGUAGCCCAAUUUCUCCCUCUGCUCAAUCCUGCCUUUUUCCUAUUUCCUUCUACAAGUGUUGACCUUUAGAGUGCCCUUUCAUAAACUUCCCUCUUGUUAUUCUCCAUUUCAGAGUCUGUGUCCUAAGGAAGCAAAUCUGCAUCAGCAUGCAGGCUGUUCCACAGUAGGACUGCUUUUCCUUGCCCGGAGGCUGAGUGAGUUCUGUGACCAGCUCUGACCAAUGACUUGUGACAUGAGAUACUUAGAGGCUAAGCACUUAAUUGUCAGUGCAAAGCCUCAGAGAGCUCUCUUCAUUCUCUUUCACAGCAACUGGCAAUAUUCUGUGAGCCUAAGUGACAGUAAUGAGCAGCACGCACAGCCAAUCUGUAGUAGUGGGAACCAAAAAUAAAACUUUAUUUCUUUAAGCUAUUAGGAUCCUGGGGCUGUUUGUUGCCACAGCAAAACCUGUCCCAACCUGACUAAUACACCUGAACCACUGCACCAGCUUCCUAACUUCCCUCCCUUCCUGCUUCUACCAUGCCACCCUCUCUCAAACCUAGCAGCCUCACUGCUGCCCAGGAUCGCUCUCAAUCAGCGUCUCCCCUGCCCCCAAAGUUCUGAAGGAAAACGUCAAACUCUAAUCUUAAAGCAAAAGAUUACUCAAGUUCAGGUGUUACUCUCAAUCCAAAUCUGUCUGUAACUAUGACCCUGUCUCUCCUUCUCUCCUCAACAGCCUUAAAAAACUCGUUAUAAUCCUCUGAAAUGCCAUUUUCUCACUCCUGACAUGCCUUUCUGUCUUUCUUUAUUGAUCCAACUGCUACUUGUCCUUCAGACCUCAGUUACAGAAUCAUCUCCUCUAGGAAGUUCCUUGGCCCCCUGUCUGAUUUACACACCUCCACUGUGUGCCUAGAGCACCCUGGGCAGAGCUCCUCAACAGAAUUUCAUUUCCUUAACUGCUACUUGACAACAGAUUUCUUGAGGGCAGGAGAAAUGUCUAUUUUGACUUUGUGUUGCUAACACCUUGGCACCUUAACUGGGGCACAGAAAAUCCUCGAUAAUCAUUUUAGGUAUAAAUAAAUGGACAAACAAAUGAGUCAAUAAUCCAGUCAUUAUGUUCUGUAGCAAAGAAUCUAGUAAACUGAACACUCAUCCUAGAAAUGAGUUUAUUAAUGUCCUAGUGACUAGGUUUUUGAUGAGAAAUUCUUCCGUAUUCCGUCAAGGUCUACUAUUCUAUGAGUAAAUUUUGGACUUUUCUUCCUCUAGUAUUUUCUGCUUACUACAUUGCUUGUUUUUCUAGUUUAGGGACUGUCAAACUUUCUCUGUAAAGGGCCUGAUAGUAUUUUUGGCUUUGUGGCCAAUAUAGUCUUUGUAUCAACUACUCAACUUCAAGUAGAUGAAUCACAACUACUCAAUUUUGCCAUUGGAGUGCAAAGCAGCCAGUGAAAUGCAAAUGAAGGAGCAGGGCUGUAUACCAAUAAAACCUUAUUUACAAAAGCAGAAGGCAAGGCCAGUUUUCUCCUACAGGUCAUAGUUUGUCAGCCCUCUUUCUAGGCUAUAUAAUUUAGGGGACUGUGGAGGGUGAAGGGUGGGGGCCAGCAAAGUGUACAUGGUUUGAAAUGCACACAGGUCACUGAAUGCUCAAUGAGUAAUUUGCCUUUUGGGGGACUUGGUCUUCCCCAACCAAUGUGGUGGGAUGCAAAGUUCAGAUGUUUCCAGUUUAUGGGUCAUCAGAGUCUUGGAUAUAGAGAGAUUGUCUCCUUACAGACCCUAGUAUGAACUGCCUGUGACUGCCUAGAUUUUUUAUAUAGGCUUAAAGAAAACGUAGGUCUACUAUGUAGAACAGAAAUCCAAAUAUCCAAGGUCCACCCUACACAUGCUGCUGUGAGAAAUUCCACAGUCUCUCUUAGUGAACACCCUCACAUGUAAAGAGAGGAAUUCAGUUUCUAGAGAACUAGUCUCACUUAUAAAAACAGUAGCAAUACCCUUAGCUACCCUUUGUCAAGUACCCUCUGUGGCUUUGGUGUUGAGUCUUACAUAAUCAAGAGCUUGUGCCAGACAAAGUGCUCAGUGUCAUGUACAUUAUCUCAUGAAUUUUCACCCUAUCCAAAAUGCAGGUUUCUACAGUUCUUCCCUCUUACCCAGAGGGAAAUGGAGCUCAGAGAAAUAAAGCUCCAUUUGUAAAGCGAUUUGUUUGAGGUCAAAUUUGCUCCAGUUUGAGCCUACAGCCUCUCCUGCGUUCUGCACUGCAUGCUACCCCUCAGUGCCAGCUGCCUGCCUCAUGGGAGCUGACCCAGCCUCUUCUGGUCACUUAAAUAUCCUGGAUUCUGUCCAGGUUGCCUCCUACUGGAGGCAAUGACUCCAUUCAGGGUUUGCCUUCCAGAUGUUGGGGAUGAGGGGAAAACUUAAUUCCAAGUAAUAAACCAAGGGCUUUGUCUGAACAUGUCAUACUUAAUGAAAAGCAAAGUGUGUUGAUCCUUAUUCAACCACAAUCUCCCAUCAUUUUCCAUCUCAAUUGUUUGUUAAACCUAUCCAGGAAAGAUAUAAGCAGGAGAGAUAUAUGGCUGAUGAAUGAGCUUUUAAUAUUUCACCCCAAAUUUAAGGUAAAUGUCCCAUUGUCUGCUACUUCAGCCAAAUUCAAACCUUCACUCAAAGUAAGUCUUUGUUAAAAGCAGCCUCAGCCUGCUUUUUAUUUACUCAUAUUACUACAGAAAUGCCUUGUAGCUAGUAUCUUAAUUAUUCAUGGUUUUUGGCAAAUUAAAUCUCUUGCCUCUCCAAUGUCUAGAAGUGGAGGAAGUGUUCAAUUCCAAAGAAACUAUGCCUUCCCAGCUGUGCCAGCCAGGCAAUAAUGUUGUUGCCAAAUUCCUUAUGAAUAGGUGGGAGAUAAUAUUUCACUUAGAGUAUAUGAAUAAACAAAACACCCCCAGGGGACUGUCAGGUAUUUCAUGUAAUGGAUAGCUCCCACCCCACCCUUAUUUUAUGUCUCCCUAGAGUGACUGAGCCCUGGAUUUCCUUACAAAUAGAACUAUUCAGACUAGAAGAAAAAGACACCUUUUUAUCAUCAAGAUGAUGAAAAAUUGGCCUCAGUAAAGUUGUAACCCUAUGGUGUUUCCAGUUCAUACGCCAGAAAGCUGGGCAGAACAAUGGAACACUCCCUUCUAUGGUUUAGAAUUCAUAAUUAUGGGAUAGUGAUAUGGGUGGUCUAAUGAUGGGCCCCCACCCCCUGAACUCAAAUUACUGUGGCAAAAUACAAACAUACUUGUGCAUUUAUCUUUGUACUUAUCUUGAAGAGUAACUAAUAACUUUAUUUAAAGAGCCCUACAUUUGAGAUUCUAAUAAUGCAGGUGCAGGGACAUUGCUGAUCGCAUCUCGACCGAAGCACUGACCCUGUCUCUCUCUGUUUGAUAGAUGGGUGGUCUAGGUGGGGACAACCUCACUCCCAGCUUCAGAUAUGGGUCUGCUCUCCCAAUGGCCUAAGCUAAUCAAUGUAAUUCAGUGUUUCUCAACCUUUUUAUUCAUUAUCACCCCAUUAAGGAGUCUUUUAGAUAUUUUUUGUUUGUUAGUCACCACCUGCUCCUGAAAAUUCUAAGGCCACAAAUACACAAUAUAUCUGUUUACAUACUGUAUAUAUAUCUGUGCUUCUUCCAUAAAAGGAGUAAGAUUUUUUUUUUUUGCCUUCCUCCUGUCCCCAAGAAUCAAUUUUUGCCUCUUGGGGACCACAUUAAUCCCAUUGAGAAUGCAUGAAUUAUAAUGCCAUUCCUUAUGCCAAUAUCAAUCAUGGCACUGGGUGUACGCACAGACCCUAAGAUGACCUAUCAGAGUGUAAACUGGUGA